AACGAACCAGAUUAGUACCUGGUUAGAUGAAAUUAAAAAAAGCAGAAGUAAAGUUGUAUUUAAACUGUAAGGAUAUUGGCAGGCUUUGUAAAUUAUCUUUGGAGGUUGAGCAGUAAUUGAGAACCCCCAUUUUCAACUUUUAUUUUAGGUGCAUGUAUGAUCGUUUAUUUUAUUCUUAAGGAUUGUAAGCAAAAGUUUUUAUUUAUUAAAAUAGAUAAAUACCUGAUUUAUAUAAAAGUGUAAGUUUGACCUACAAUAAAAAAA
rnacentral:rRNA from 1 species